rnacentral:rRNA from 1 species
CAAUAGCGUAUAUUUAAGUUGUUGCAGUUAAAAAGCUCGUAGUCGGAUUUCGGUUAAGAGCGACCGGUCCGCCGUUUGGUGUGCACUGGUUGGUUUUAACUUCCUGUAGAGGACGUGCUCUGGGUUUAACGACCUGGACUCGGAGUCUACGUGGUUACUUUGAAAAAAUUAGAGUGUUCAAAGCGGGCUUACGCUUGAAUAUUUCAGCAUGGAAUAACACUAUAGGACUCCUGUCCUAUUUCGUUGGUCUCGGGACGGGAGUAAUGAUUAAGAGGAACAGUUGGGGGCAUUCGUAUUUCAUUGUCAGAGGUGAAAUUCUUGGAUUUAUGAAAGACGAACUUCUGCGAAAGCAUUUGCCAAGGAUGUUUUCAUUAA